GAUGAACGCUGGCGGCGUGCCUAAUACAUGCAAGUCGAGCGAACAGACGAGGAGCUUGCUCCUCUGACGUUAGCGGCGGACGGGUGAGUAACACGUGGAUAACCUACCUAUAAGACUGGGAUAACUUCGGGAAACCGGAGCUAAUACCGGAUAAUAUAUUGAACCGCAUGGUUCAAUAGUGAAAGACGGUUUUGCUGUCACUUAUAGAUGGAUCCGCGCCGCAUUAGCUAGUUGGUAAGGUAACGGCUUACCAAGGCGACGAUGCGUAGCCGACCUGAGAGGGGGAUCGGCCACACUGGAACGGAGACACGGUCCAGACUCCUACGGGAGGCAGCAGUAGGGAAUCUUCCGCAAUGGGCGAAAGCCUGACGGAGCAACGCCGCGUGAGUGAUGAAGGUCUUCGGAUCGUAAAACUCUGUUAUUAGGGAAGAACAAAUGUGUAAGUAACUAUGCACGUCUUGACGGUACCUAAUCAGAAAGCCACGGCUAACUACGUG
rnacentral:rRNA from 1 species